AACUCCCCUGACUAUCCGAGCUUCCAUAAUACCAUUCGGACUUCUCUGAUAAUGAGCUCCUCCAUUCAUCUACCAGGCUACUCCAAAUGCUUUCUAAGCUUCGCUAUCAGCCAAUUUUCUAUAGUAACCAGACUUCAUCCAAGUUUCUACAGUGAUCGACCGCCUUCCGAAUUUCAUCCGAGCUCCUACAAGAGCCGGACUCUGUCUGAACUUCUACAGUGGAUGGAUCUCAGAUGAACUUCUACAACAGACAGGCUCCACCAACCAGAUCUCUACUCCGAACUUCUUUCAGACUUCAUCAAUGAUCAAGCUCCUCCAACAGUGGGACUUCCACAAUAAGAAGUCUCCAUCCGAGCUUCCACGGCAACCGAUCUUCGUCUGAGCUUCUACAAUAAGCAGACUUCAUCUGGACUCCUACAAGAGCUGGACCCCGUUCAAACUUCUACAAUAGAAUUGAAUCCCGAACUCCUCCAAUGUUUGACCUUCUACAGUGUCCUCAAGACUCCUCCAGCGGAAAAACCUCCACAAUGCCAUUCGAACUCCAUUAUCGGUCAACCCACUGUCGGAUUCCUCAUGGAACCAGGCCUUUCCGACGGAUGGUCUUCAGACGAGCUUCUACAUCAGACAAAUCCCAGAUGGACUUCUUUAGCAAUUGAAUUCCUCAUGAAAUCAGACUUCUCCAACAGAAAGUCCCCACCCAAGCUUCUCUUAGAUUGCAGAGACAGAGAGCCAUUCCACUCCAUCAAACAUCCCAGCCGAGCUUUAGCCGUCAGGCUUAAACUCUCUGGUAAGUCACGACAAUGGCCACUACCCCACUCCACUCUUUGUGAUAGAUUCCAUGUGGCCCCACCUCUCUCUGGCAAGUCACGACAAUGGACACCACUCUACUCUCCAUAACAAACUCCACGUGGCCCUGAACGACCCCCUAAUACCACUACUCUCCGUAACAAACUCCGUGUGGCCCCGAACAGCCCACUACCAGGCAG
rnacentral:lncRNA from 1 species